CUUACCAUGCAGUCGACGCUGAAGCUUGGUGCUUGCACUGGGUGGAUGAGUGGCGAACGGGUGAGUAAUACGUGAGUAACCUGCCCUUGACUCUGGGAUAAGCCUGGGAAACUGGGUCUAAUACUGGAUAUGACCUCCUGUCGCAUGGUGGGGGGUGGAAAGGGUUUGUACUGGUUGUGGAUGGGCUCACGGCCUAUCAGCUUGUUGGUGGGGUAAUGGCCUACCAAGGCGACGACGGGUAGCCGGCCUGAGAGGGUGACCGGCCACACUGGGACUGAGACACGGCCCAGACUCCUACGGGAGGCAGCAGUGGGGAAUAUUGCACAAUGGGCGCAAGCCUGAUGCAGCGACGCCGCGUGAGGGAUGACGGCCUUCGGGUUGUAAACCUCUUUCAGCACGGAAGAAGCGAAAGUGACGGUACGUGCAGAAGAAGCGCCGGCUAACUACGUGCCAGCAGCCGCGGUAAUACGUAGGGCGCAAGCGUUGUCCGGAAUUAUUGGGCGUAAAGAGCUCGUAGGCGGUUUGUCGCGUCUGCUGUGAAAGCCCGGGGCUUAACCCCGGGUGUGCAGUGGGUACGGGCAGACUUGAGUGCAGUAGGGGAGACUGGAACUCCUGGUGUAGCGGUGAAAUGCGCAGAUAUCAGGAAGAACACCGAUGGCGAAGGCAGGUCUCUGGGCUGUUACUGACGCUGAGGAGCGAAAGCAUGGGGAGCGAACAGGAUUAGAUACCCUGGUAGUCCAUGCCGUAAACGUUGGGCACUAGGUGU
rnacentral:rRNA from 1 species